rnacentral:rRNA from 1 species
AGAGUUUGAUCCUGGCUCAGGAUGAACGCUGGCGGCGUGCUUAACACAUGCAAGUCGAACGAGCCUUCGGGCUAGUGGCGGACGGGUGAGUAACGCGUGAGAAUCUGCCCUCAGGAGGGGGAUAACGGCUGGAAACGGCCGCUAAUACCCCAUAUGCCGCGAGGUGAAAUGAGAAAUCGCCUGAGGAUGAGCUCGCGUCUGAUUAGCUAGUUGGUGGGGUAAGAGCCUACCAAGGCAUCGAUCAGUAGCUGGUCUGAGAGGAUGAUCAGCCACACUGGGACUGAGACACGGCCCAGACUCCUACGGGAGGCAGCAGUGGGGAAUUUUCCGCAAUGGGCGCAAGCCUGACGGAGCAACGCCGCGUGAGGGAUGAAGGCCUCUGGGCUGUAAACCUCUUUUCUCAAGGAAGAAGAACUGACGGUACUUGAGGAAUAAGCCACGGCUAAUUCCGUGCCAGCAGCCGCGGUAAUACGGGAGUGGCAAGCGUUAUCCGGAAUUAUUGGGCGUAAAGCUUCCGCAGGCGGUCUUGAAAGUCUGUUGUUAAAGCGUGGAGCUCAACUCCAUUUCAGCAAUGGAAACUAGAAGACUAGAGUGUGGUAGGGGCAGAGGGAAUUCCCGGUGUAGCGGUGAAAUGCGUAGAUAUCGGGAAGAACACCAGUGGCGAAGGCGCUCUGCUGGGCCAUAACUGACGCUCAUGGACGAAAGCCAAGGGAGCGAAAGGGAUUAGAUACCCCUGUAGUCCUGGCCGUAAACGAUGAACACUAGGUGUCGGGGGAAUCGACCCCCUCGGUGUCGUAGCCAACGCGUUAAGUGUUCCGCCUGGGGAGUACGCACGCAAGUGUGAAACUCAAAGGAAUUGACGGGGGCCCGCACAAGCGGUGGAGUAUGUGGUUUAAUUCGAUGCAACGCGAAGAACCUUACCAGGGUUUGACAUCCUGCGAAUCUUUUGGAAACAGAAGAGUGCCUUCGGGAGCGCAGAGACAGGUGGUGCAUGGCUGUCGUCAGCUCGUGUCGUGAGAUGUUGGGUUAAGUCCCGCAACGAGCGCAACCCACGUCUUUAGUUGCCAGCAUUGAGUUGGGCACUCUAGAGAGACCGCCGGUGAUAAACCGGAGGAAGGUGUGGAUGACGUCAAGUCAUCAUGCCCCUUACAUCCUGGGCUACACACGUACUACAAUGCUACGGACAGAGGGCAGCAAACUCGCGAGAGCUAGCAAAUCCCAUAAACCGUGGCUCAGUUCAGAUCGUAGGCUGCAACUCGCCUACGUGAAGGAGGAAUCGCUAGUAAUCGCAGGUCAGCAUACUGCGGUGAAUACGUUCCCGGGCCUUGUACGC